UAGCUGAUCAGGCGCAGUGGUUGUGCGACUGCCUGCGACGCAGAUAGCUCUGGGUUCGAUCCUCGGUGAGUUAA